rnacentral:rRNA from 1 species
GACGAACGCUGGCGGCGUGCUUAACACAUGCAAGUCGAGCGGUAAGGCCCUUUCGGGGGUACACGAGCGGCGAACGGGUGAGUAACACGUGGGUGACCUGCCCUCAGCUCUGGGAUAAGCCCGGGAAACUGGGUCUAAUACCGGAUAUGACUCCACGGUGCAUGUCGUGGGGUGGAAAGCCUUGUGCGGCUGAGGAUGGGCCCGCGGCCUAUCAGCUUGUUGGUGGGGUGAUGGCCACCAAGGCGACGACGGGUAGCCGGCCUGAGAGGGCGACCGGCCACACUGGGACUGAGACACGGCCCAGACUCCUACGGGAGGCAGCAGUGGGGAAUCUUGCGCAAUGGGCGAAAGCCUGACGCAGCGACGCCGCGUGAGGGAUGACGGCCU